UGAUAGCUGUGAAGCGAGAGGUUGCUGCUGACAUGUAAAUACAUGAUGGCAGGUUUUCCGUGGAGCGAAUGUCAAGUUAGGAAACUGGCGACAA
rnacentral:ncRNA from 1 species